rnacentral:rRNA from 1 species
UACGUAGGGGGCUAGCGUUGUCCGGAAUCAUUGGGCGUAAAGAGCGUGUAGGCGGCCCGGUAAGUCCGCUGUGAAAGUCGGGGGCUCAACCCUCGAAUGCCGGUGGAUACUGUCGGGCUAGAGUUCGGAAGAGGCGAGUGGAAUUCCUGGUGUAGCGGUGAAAUUCGCAGAUAUCAGGAGGAACACCAAUUGCGAAGGCAGCUCGCUGGGACGUAACUGACGCUGAGACGCGAAAGCGUGGGGAGCAAACAGG